rnacentral:rRNA from 1 species
CCUACGGGGGGCAGCAGUGGGGGAUAUUGCACAAUGGGGGAAACCCUGAUGCAGCGACGCCGCGUGUGGGAAGACGGUCCUCUGGAUUGUAAACCACUGUCCCCAGGGACGAAGAUGACGGUACCUGGGGAGGAAGCGCCGGCUAACUACGUGCCAGCAGCCGCGGUAAUACGUAGGGAGCGAGCGUUGUCCGGAAUUACUGGGUGUAACGGGAGCGUAGGCGGGACUGCAAGUUGGGUGUCAAAUCUACCGGCUCAACCGGUAGCCGCACUCAAAACUGCAGUUCUUGAGUGAAGUAGAGGCAGGCGGAAUUCCUAUUGUAGCUGUGAAAUGCGUAGAUAUUAGGAGGAACCCCAGUGGCGACGGCGGCCUGCUGGGCUUUUACUGACGCUGAGGCUCGAACGUGUGGGGAGCAAACAGGAUUAGAUACCCUUGUAGUC